GACGAACGCUGGCGGCGUGCUUAAUACAUGCAAGUCGAACGGUAAGGGCCUACCUUUGUGGGGUGCUUGAGUGGCGAACGGGUGAGUAACGCGUAAGUAACCUGCCUGUGACUUGGGGAUAACUACAGGAAACUGUGGCUAAUACCGGAUAGCAGUAGCUGUUGCAUGGUAGUGGCUGAAAAGUUUCGGCGGCUGGGGUUGCACAUGCGGCUGCUCAGUUUGUUGGUGUGGUAGUGGUUACCCAAGGCUUUGGCGGCGAGCCGGCCUGGGAGGGAGACCGGCCACAUUGGGACUGAGAUAGGGGCCGUAGUGAUACGGGAGGCAGCGGUGGAAAAUAUUGCAAGAUACGCGGAGGCCGGAUGCAGCGACGCCGCAUGCGGGAUGUCGGCUGUAGGAUUGUAAAGCGUUUGCGCCUGUGACGAAGAGAGAGUGACGGUAAUGGAUAAGGAAGCACCGGCUAACUACGUG
rnacentral:rRNA from 1 species